CCACCAUCUCCAAGCAACUGAGGAGGAGUGAGACAUGGUUGAAAAGGGCCUACAUUCCAUCAUGAUGCAGUCAGAGGAGAAACUGAUCAUAGAAAAGUCUCGAGCUGAUGCUAUAGAGGUAGCUUUGGGGGAGACCAAGAGUUCUCUAGAGGAAGCUAAGAAAUCCCUUAAGAUAAGGAUCGCCCAGCUCUAGAAGAGUGAAG
rnacentral:lncRNA from 1 species